AACGAACGCUGGCGGCAGGCCUAACACAUGCAAGUCGAACGCCCAGCAAUGGGAGUGGCGCACGGGUGAGUAACGCGUGGGAAUGUACCCUUUAGUACGGAAUAACCUCGGGAAACUGGGAUUAAUACCGUAUACGCCCUUCGGGGGAAAGAUUUAUCGCUAAAGGAUCAGCCCGCGUGAGAUUAGAUAGUUGGUGGGGUAAUGGCCUACCAAGUCUACGAUCUCUAGCUGGUCUGAGAGGACGACCAGCCACACUGGAACUGAGACACGGUCCGGACUCCUACGGGAGGCAGCAGUGGGGAAUAUUGGACAAUGGGCGAAAGCCUGAUCCAGCCAUGCCGCGUGAGUGAUGAAGGCCUUAGGGUUGUAAAGCUCUUUCGGUGGUGACGAUAAUGACGGUAACCACAUAAGAAGCCCCGGCUAACUUCGUGCCAGCAGCCGCCGUAA
rnacentral:rRNA from 1 species